rnacentral:lncRNA from 1 species
CGCCAGUAGAACUGGGCCUGAUGCACUUGCCCAGCCCAGAUGAAAGUCUUUUUAACCCAAAACAAAUAAACAAAAAAAAAUUUGGACGCACAUGUGAGGAAGGGAGUCCUCUACUCGAACGGAAUCCGACUUUAGGUCGAAUUCUGGUCACGAUUGAACCUAUUUAGGGCCCUUCCUGAUCAUCUUACCGGAGCUCACCGUUGGAGGAUUUGUUCGAAUCCCUUUUCAAAUGUUGAUUGUCAUUUGCACCAUCCCCGCAGCCGAAUGCCGCCGGGAACCAAGUAAGGACCCGGCUCCUUCGAUCUACCUUUCUUCUGAACUCCUUGGAGCUUUGAUUCUGACCGGCGAUCACCGAAUUUUUGGUAAAAAGGGAAUCUCCUUCUCGGAUACUGUCAGAAUUAAUCACCCUCGAUCUCUAUCGAACCAACUGUAUUCUAGUAUGAGCAUGAUCAGAUAAUUUUUAUGUUGAUCGGAGGGGUAUCGAACACUCCCACUAAGUAAGCCCUAUGAAGGUAUUAGAAUUUAGGAUUUUUAUUUUUAGAAUAAUCAUAAUAAAAUUCUAAUGAUAAUUUAAUUUUAAAAUAUCAUGCUAUAAGAGAAAUUUUGAAAAUUAAUUGGACCUGUUGGUUCAUUUCGCUUGCAAG